CUCAAGUCAUCAGGUCACAGGCAUAUUUCUCUGGUCCUCCCCUAACAGAUUACAAUCCCAAAUGAGAGAGGGGGUCGUCUCUAGUCUUCACCACAGAAGGCAGUGCAACACUGACCACAGAAGACGUAAGCGAGGCUUGAACCAAUGGAAACACAAAGUGGCUGGCCAACCCAGUGGAGGUGGCAGCUGUGCUUGGCAGUGUGAGGGAGAGGGACACUUUUUAGGAAAAUGGUACAGCCAUCAAAGGAAGCUGGAGUGCCUGGGAGAGUUUAAGAUAAGUGCAAUAACCGAAGAAGGAGCACCUGGUAAAAAUGGAAGUGGUGACAUAGAGUGCUCAUCUCAGGAAGUAGCUUCUAGAGGAACUCAACUGCAGUGGGUACAAUUUUGCUUAAAGGAUAGAAGAGAGACCAGAUGACCUGAAAAACACCAUGUUCUGCUCAGGUCUCUACUGUCCAUAUCACUCAAGGCCAACUGAGAACAGUGGAGAGGUAACCCCCACUGAAGUCUAUUUAAAUCCUGAUCAUCCUCUCCACUCCCAGCAUUUUUCUGCUUUCCCAGGAUACUCUUUCUGGUGAUUUCCCACCAUCAUACAAUACUAAAACUGAAAGCUGAAUGAUGCUGUUAGAAAUGUGACAAGGGAAUUUCUAAAGAGGAAAAAUAAAAAGCAAAUCAUGCUUCCCCCUCUUUGUAAC
rnacentral:lncRNA from 1 species